CCCUCAUCUUCUGUCUCACCUUUCUUACAUCAUCCCACCUGCCCGAUUCUGCAAACAAGUUAGAGACUAACACAUAGUGCUCAGCCUUGUCUGGCUCCAGAUCUAACAAUUUCUUUGAAAUUUUUUCACCAAGAUCCAUAUUUCCAUAAGUUCGACAAGCACUUAGUAGUGAACCCCAAAUACUAUAGCUCAUGGAAUCACCUAUAGUUGCAAUGUUCCACAUACCUUUUUGAAUCAAUGAACGAUGAAGCUCAGUGGAAGUUAGCUGUUGCUUUUAUACGGAUUUUGGUGAGUUAAACGGAAGGCCCAUCUGCAUCAGUUGUAAUACGUGUGACUGGUUACAUUCUAUACAACAUAGCAAAUUGUCUCUCCGGUCACAUUUUAUAUGUAAUGACCACAAACUCAAGAACAACAAGGUCAAGAAGUUAAUGCAUGGAGAAAGAGUAUAACGGAUGAUAUAUGGGAUAAUGUUCGUGAAAGGAAGUUAGAAUUGUAUGGAGACCGUUAAAAUGCAAAAAAAAAAAAAAUUAUCUCGUUGCACAACAAUAACAUACUAUUGAUACAGAGGGAGGUGGAAUAGAAUGACCCGGUUGAAGCAUAAUGAUCAUACCUUUCUAAUGCAUUGUACGUCCAUAGGUCCCAUUCUUCUACCUUUUCCCGGGAGUCGAUGAUUAUUCAUAGCUAUUACCUUGACUUCAAAGAAGAGUUCGACCCAAUGUUUAUUUUUGUCCUAGUUGAUCUUAAUUCGACAUUAGAAGUAUAUUGAUUGUUCCCCAAU